ACUAGUACACUCUUCAGUAACAUUUCAGCCAUACGCAGAUACAUCACAGAAGACUGUUGUAAGACUCUAGUACAUGCUUUAGUAACAUCUA